GUAUGGUGCAAGCGUUAUCCGGAUUUACUGGGUGUAAAGGGAGCGCAGGCGGUGCGGCAAGUCUGAUGUGAAAGCCCGGGGCUCAACCCCGGUACUGCAUUGGAAACUGUCGUACUAGAGUGUCGGAGGGGUAAGGGGAAUUCCUAGUGUAGCGGUGAAAUGCGUAGAUAUUAGGAGGAACACCAGUGGCGAAGGCGGCUUACUGGACGAUAACUGACGCUGAGGCUCGAAAGCGUGGGGAGCAAACAGGAUUAGAUACCCUGGUAGUCCACACCGUAAACGAUGAAUACUAGGUGUUGGGAAGCAUUGCUUCUCGGUGCCGUCGCAAACGCAGUAAGUAUUCCACCUGGGGAGUACGUUCGCAAGAAUG
rnacentral:rRNA from 1 species